rnacentral:rRNA from 1 species
GACGAACGCUGGCGGCGUGCCUAACACACGCAAGUCGAGCGGGGAUAUUUCCUUCGGGAGAUAUUCUAGCGGCGGACGGGUGAGUAACGCGUGAGCAAUCUGUGCUUGACAGGGGGACAACACGUUGAAAGACGUGCUAAUACCGCGUAAGACCACAGGGUCGCAUGGCCUAGAGGUCAAAGGAGAAAUCCGGUCAAGGGUGAGCUCGCGUCUGAUUAGCUAGUUGGUGAGGUAACGGCCCACCAAGGCGACGAUCAGUAGCCGGCCUGAGAGGGCGAACGGCCACACUGGGACUGAGACACGGCCCAGACUCCUACGGGAGGCAGCAGUGGGGAAUAUUGGGCAAUGGGGGAAACCCUGACCCAGCAACGCCGCGUGAGGGAAGAAGGUUUUCGGAUUGUAAACCUCUGUCAUCGGGGAAGAAACAAAUGACGGUACCCGAUGAGGAAGCCCCGGCUAACUACGUGCCAGCCGCC